rnacentral:misc_RNA from 1 species
AAAAAAAAAAAUAUAUAUAAGAGUUAAGAAUAGAAUAGAAAUUAGAAUUUUGCUGUAUGUCAGUGAAAUACUACAGUGACAAUUACUACGGUGGAUACGGUGAAGUUGCUAACCCUUUACAAUGGCCACAGCUCAGGAAAAGGCGACGCCUUCUUGUUGCAGUUCCUCCAACUCUUCCUCUGCUGCCGCUGCUGCUGCAACUAAGGUUUUGCAGGAUUGGCGCGUUACCACUGUAUCUGACUCGCCACAGGAUCCAAUCACCAAGAGAACCACCAUGUCAUCCCUGAUCCGCCCUGUUGAGUCCCUCACUGAUCCUUCUCCGCCUAACCCCACUUCUGCUAAAGG